CUUAAGUAAAAAGGGAUUUAUUGGCUCCAAACCUGGAAGGGGCUGGGGUAUCACUAAAUCCAGUGACUCCGGUGAUGUAUUUGUGUAUCUCUCCCUUUCUGCAAAGGGCCAGUAACCCCUCAGUUCCCUAUCUACUUUGCGACUGUAAUUGCAAGCCUCAUUCUGUCCUGUUACAGUCGUGCGGCAAUUAGGCUGAAGGACUGGCGCGCCCGCUCCCCCGACUGUGAGCCUAGGCGGCGGGUGUCAUGCCCCUCCCCCCCCCCCCCCCCCCGGCGGAACAGAAUAUUGGGACAUGUUGGUGAUUCUUAGCUGUAUCUCACUAUUCCAUUGACAUUUCAACCAGUGUGACACAAAAUGUCAGUUAUGUAUGUGAAUGAGAAGUAAGAUCUUUUGAACUUAAUGAAUUCAGCAAGACGCUUCCAGUUACUUCCUGCUCUUAAA
rnacentral:sRNA from 1 species